AGUGAUGGUAGAGGAGCGAAAACCAUUAGUAAACCAGUUGAGAGCGAUGAGGUUCUAAGACACUGGUUAAAAGGGGAAUUCGCCGAAGUUUGUAUAGAGCUCAUAGCUAUGCAUGCUGGACUUAUCUCGAACAGAGAUAAGGCUGUCACUUGACUAUACCCAAUAGUCUUGUGGAGAACUAUCUCACGU
rnacentral:ncRNA from 2 species